rnacentral:rRNA from 1 species
ACGGGACUCUGACACAGGUGUGCAUUAUCGUCAGCUCGUGUCGUGAGAUGUUGGGUUAAGUCCCGUAACGAGCGCAACCCUUGUCCUUAGUUACCAGCACGUCAUGGUGGGCACUCUAAGGAGACUGCCGGUGACAAACCGGAGGAAGGGUGGGGAUAGACGUCAAGUCAUCAUGGGCCCUUAACAGGCCUUGGCGCUACACACUGUGCUACAAUGCGUCAGGUCACAAGAAGGGUCGCCACAUGCCGCAGAGUGAAGCUAAUCUCACAAUAAGCCGAUCGAUAGUCCGGGAAUCGCGAUGCUCGUUGCAACUCUCAGAAUCUGCGUGAAGUCGAGAAUCCGCUAUGAUAAACUACUGC